CCUGCCUCGUCCGCAGCUUCCCGGGCUUGCUGCACCCAUGGGUUUCCCCGGGCUCAAGGGGUCAGCCAGAAGAGGGGAGUUUGAAUGUUCCCAACACAAAGAAAAGAUAAAUAUUUAAGACUCCACAGAGGUGCAACCCAGGAGAGAAAGGAUGAAGGUCUACAUUCCUCAAAACUCAUCCAGCACAAUUCAUUGACCACACUGAAUAAGGACAUGAAUGACCUCCUGGAAAGCCCCUGGAUUUAGGGUGACUUUUACUGCUGCUCAGACCCUGAAUAACCACUGACGAGGUUUAAGAGGUACAUCUCUCAAUUCAGAGAACUGCACGGAGUGAAAUGAUGAAC